GACAUAGUUUAGCGGUAGAAUAUCUGCUGUGCAUGCAGAAGGUCCCAGGUUCAAUCCCCAUUGGCAUCU